UUAAAUGACAAGAGAAAAAAACCAGAUUACCAGCACAUAUACUAGGAGGGGGAAAAUGUUUACAUGCUACCAAAUGAAAACGGUUGACUGGUUAAAAGAAAGUUUUCUUCCCUUUACUUUGCCAUUCAUAAGAGUGUCUCUUUUUCUUUCUCCUCCUCCUCCUCUUCCCUUUUUGUUUUUUUCCUUGAAAGUCGGAAAGAAUGUUAGAAGACAAGGAGACAAACGAAGCAAACAAAAUGCCAUUGUAUUGUAGUAAGGAUUCAUGGGAAAUGCUUGUCUGUCAGGGCCUUCCCUCCUCGCCCCUGGGAGGGUGUUUUACUGUAGGAAAGGCGCAAUAACAUAGGGGUGAAGAAACUGUUAAAUAACAGUGAGUGUUUGAGAGGAAUUUUCUGUUUGAUUGCUUUAUUUAUUUAAUGCUGCAUCUGAAUUGCCUCGGCACAGCCAGCCCCACGUUCGGUGGAGAUGGAUCUUGGAGCGAGCAUUCUCUUAACCAGAGAAUUAGAGGGUGCGAUUUGUCCUUGGCUCUCUCUGCACAAAGAACACUGCAGGCUGCAAUUUUUCUACUUACCUGCACUAAGAAAAUAAUCCUCACAGAAUGCAUCAGGAUACCGACUCCCGAAACAAACGAGUGAGCUGCAAAACCCUCAAACCUGAGAGCAACCGACUCACUCAGCAGUUAACUCCCCCCAUACAACAUUUGCAAAGCAAAGCAAAUUUACACGCUUCCCAAUAGAAACGUCUUUAGGUUUUCAUAACUAACCUCCUGACACCAUGAUUCUAAUAAUUAUCAACUGCUUGACAACAUAUGCAAAACAAGCCACACAGAACUUGGCACUGGGAAAGAAUCCAGUGAUGGUUAAGCCACCUGUAUGCAGGUGAUGAUAUCAAUGGUGAUGAUGAUGAUGAUGACGAUGACAACAUUGGCAGGGUUUCUCGGGGUCUCUUACGACUAUGGGUUGAAUACUGACUUUUGCAUGUGCAUAGACUCAUAUCUCUCCCAUUGCAUGUUCAUGACAUGUAGAGGUCAGUAACCAAGCACCCAGCAGGCUCUAUGCUAUCUAUCGGGAAAAGGUGAGCAAUCUACUGUGGAAAUUCCAUUUUAAGGGACUUACAAGAAGAUAUCUAUAUGUAGCUAUAAAUGCUAAGUUAAUUCUAUGUUUCUUCUUACAUUAUGCACAGAAUUUACUCCUGAUUAAUACGAUGCUUUACUUUUGUAUACAAAUACUGGACGUUAGAGGAGCUGUCAUUGUAAAAAUCUUUUGUCUUUGGUUACAGGGUGGGCUUGGGUAGGAGUUUUUCAGAUGACUUCUGGAUGGCGUUUGUAUGUCUGGAUCUGCUUUGUAGGUGCUUCAAAGAUAAAUGUUCUAUAUUGGUGGGGGGGCUGCUGAUCCCCCUAGCAGUUCUUUAAGGACCUCUUCAGGGACACACCUGGUUCCAGCCAGCUUCCUCCUAUAAGGCCACAGUUAGCAGAAGGGGCUGUCUGUUAUCUUCAGCUGGAGUUUGGUUAAUGGUAGUAACAUCUGCUGGGCUGUUGGUGGGAGAGACACAGGGCAUUUGAUCAGAGUCACAGAUGUAAAAGUGACAUCUGUUUGUAACAAAGAAAGGAGAAACAAAAUUAAAUUAGGCAGGGAACCCUCUCCAUCUGAACAACAACAGCAAAACUAUUUGAGAAAAGGAGGUGGGGGACCUUGAGCUGCCCCAGCUUGCAAACGGCAAGUGGAGAGACCUGUGAUUUUCUCAGUUGGCAGCUGCCAGAAGUCACCACAUAGCCGCAUCCCGCACAAAGGAGCAGGGGUCUGAGCCAGUGUAGUUCAUAUGCUACAAAGAAAAUGGUCAGACGGGUUUAUUCUCAACCAAACAGAACCCCAACCUAUGCUGAGUGCAGUAUAAGCUGAGGGAUUAUCUUCAGACUGAAGGUAGAGUUUAGGUCAGCUCAAAGCCCCUGGGGCCAUUGAUAUCCCAGGUUUUUCUCAAAUAAGUUUGGGCAGAACUGGAACGCCACUCAGAGCCAUAUUAAAACUUCUGCUGCCAGUUAUGAAUGAGCUCAUAGGCUCAUUUGUGAACCUAGUAUGUUUGUAGACGCUAAAGAGCCCGCUCAGUGGCUCAGAGCACUGGCUGCUCCUGCUGAGGGCUCGGGUUCAGUUCUCAGCACCUGUUUAUAACAGCCUAUAAUUCUAGCCCCAGGGAACCUGACAGCCUCUUCUGCAUACCGUGAACAUCAAACACGGGUAUACAUACUGCACGCAGGCAUUCACACAUUCCCAUGAAAUAAAAAUAAAAAUAAAAAUAAAAAUAAAAAUAAAAAUAAACUCUUUAAAAGAAAAAGAAAAUUGUGUUUGGCAUUAAAACUGCCUACAUGGUACCCAAAGUAGAGGGGAGGGGUCUUCAGAAAUAAUGGCUUAACGUCUUUCACACCUUGGUAGGAUGUCUCUGUCUCUCUGUCUCUCUGUCUCUCUGUCUCUGUGUGUGUGUGUAUGUGUGUGUGUGUGUGUGUGUGUGUGUGUGUGUUUGUUUACAUCUCUCUUCUCUCUCGUUUCAUUUCCCGAACUUCUCCAAGUGAAGCACAUUAUGGUUAAAUGAUAACAAAUUCUACUGCCCAAAAAUUCCCGACUUCUCAGUCCAGACACCAAACUGUUUCUGCCUCUGCUGGUGUUUUCAUUGCUUCAGUGCUCAAAGGACGAAGCCUGAUUCUAGUCUCAGACUGAUCUUGUCACUGUGCUUUGGAGCUCACUGGCUGAGGGAAUCAAUCUAACCCUCCCUAAGGUCUUCAAACUCUAGUGCUUCUGAAAGUCAGCAGGUAAGCCCCAGUCACACCCACACUAACAGUCAGUCAGACAGCUUUCCUUAGCCACACCCCACUGCUGCCAUUCUUUUCCCCCACCCACACCCCUGCCCCCACACCUCCCUCACCACCCCACACUGCCCCAUCUCAUGGCAGCCAUCUUGAAUGUCUUGUCUUCCUUGAUGUGAUUAUUUCUUAAAUUCUUAUUGUUCUUCCCUAUGUGGUUUCCAUGCCCUCACCUAAAUUCUUAUCAUGGUUGACAGUCCCACUAAAGACUUUCUAAGCCUGGACCUGAGGAUAUUUUGUUACUCAGGCUGUUUAACAAAUCUUUCUGGUUUUCCCUACUUCUAGGAACCUAGUAAGUUCCACCUUCCUACCUUCUAGAAUGUAGAUACUGCCAUAUGCCUUGUUUUGGUAAUACCUGUUAGGUAACUGUGUGAGUGUGUCUUGUAGGAAGUGAAAGGCUUGUAAGACUCUCUCUUCUCUCCUUUGCUCUUAUCUUUGUUCCAGUAGUGGCCUCAUUGUUAGCCUUCACGCUAGAGUAGGGAGGCCAUGGAGCAGAGAUCGCUAACGAUCCAGAAAGAACUGAGGGCUCCUUCAAGUGUUGAGGGAUGCUCUGGAAAAGACACCGUAUGUGCUUGGUGGGGACUACCAGCUGAGUAAAUAAAACGGUGACCAAAGUUCCAGGUAAAGGACUCUGUGCUCAUCCGUGUUCUGGCUGGUUUUAUGACACAGAUUACAGUCAUCUGAGGAGAAAGUGAUUUUAUAAGAUCUAGCUGUAAGCAAGCCUGCGGGUCAUUUUCUUAAUUAGUGACAGAUGGGGGAGGGCCCAGCCUCUUGUGGUGGGUCCAUCCCUGGGCUGUGGCCCUGGACUCUAUAAGAAAGCAGGCUGAGCAAGCCGAAGGGGACAAGCCAGUAAUCACCCCUCCCCCACAGUCUCUGCAUCAACUCCUGCCUCCAGGUUCCUGCUGGGCUUGAGUUUCUGUCCUCACUGCUUUUGAUGAUGAACUAUUAUAUGGAACAGUGAGUGAAAUUAACCCUUCCUCCUGAAGUUGCUUUUGGUCAUGGUGUUUCACUACAGCAAUAGUAACCCUAACCAGGACAGUCAAAGACUCCAAAGGCAAGGAGAACUUGGAGUGUUUGAGAACCGAUACAUCGUUCCGCUGAGGUUUCUACUACAGCAGAAAAGAUGAGAGUGGUUGGGUGCACAGAAAGUUAUAAUGAUACACAUGGUCAAUUCAGGGACGUAGCCCCAGGAUGAAGCCAAAACAGAUGAAAGCAAGAUGUGUGAACUGACAAGAUUUCCACACUAGUCACUCCAGUCCAGGGAUCCCAUUAACUCACUUGGGCUUGCUCUCGAUUGAAGAUUCACUCCCUCAUUACCAUAUUUUUGAAGUCUCUACUAUACACAAGAAACCUACCCCUUUACAUAAACACAGUUCAGAUAAUCUUACGUGAUUUGGAAAUGGAACAAACCCAGAUCUACAUGUAAAGGGAGAUCUGAAGGCAGCACCGUACAGCACGGUGUCAGACAGUUGGACACCAAAUGUGAUGGUUUAGAAUUGGACAGACUGAGCGCCGGUCAUUCUGGGCAGAGACCUCAGGGCCUGGGAUAAGACCCGAGAGGUCUGGUUUGUUCUUCAUGUCCUGGGAACUGACUUGGUGGGAAAGAAUAUGGGGACCUCUGUCACCUCAUUACAUCUUACGUUUCUGAGACAGAACGUGUGGACAGUGGAAAGCUACUUUAGAGGAACGUGAGCAACGGAGAACAGGAGAGAAAUGUUGCAAGGCCUUCCUUCCUUUCUUGGGAUUUUGUGUGUUGUCCUUCCAGCACGUUUUCAAACGAGGCCACCCACAGGCAGUGCCCUAGGAAAUAAGGCCUGUUAUGAGAGCCAGAGCUUCUAGAAGUUUGUCAGGUGCUGUUUUCUACCCUGUGCCAUUCCUGUUAUACCACAUAGCUAUCCCUUAAGUCCUUGCACCCCAUCUCACCCCCAUACCCAAAGCUUGCCUUGCUCCUGCUUCUCCAAGGAUCCCUGCUGCCGCCACCACACCCAGACAAGUCCCAGGAACAGGGUUUGUGGCCUGAGUCAGCCCAGGGAGCCCACUGAGAGGUAUUGGAGCUGUCCACUGUCUUCAGCCACUCCGCCUGGAAGACGGAGCAGUGAAUGAAGAAAUUGAGAGCGGCUAAAAGUAUUUCCCCUUCUGGGUUUUCGGAAGGCCUUGCCGCUAUGGGCUCUUCGUCUUGCUGUGUGGUCCCGUUUAGGACGUUUGUGGGGUUUGCCGGUAAUAUGCUGCAGCAUCAUGCAUUUUAAUGUGGAUUUCAGCUGAUUCAGAAUUUAGAGACAAAUGCAAUCUAGUAUUCAGGGACUGGCACCACGUGUCCUAGACCUCGGGAGCCAGAGACAAUAAAAUGGUUACAGGAUGUGUGUUUGCAGGAUUUCCCCUGUUGGAAGAACCGGGAAUACUGAUUUUCUUUUUAAAAUGCGUAUUUCUUUCCUCCAGUUGUUUGUUUACUGUGGAGAGUUAACAGCAUCCUAGAGAAUUACAUGGCUUAGGGUUCCCGUUAUAGGCUCACUGUGAAGACCUUUGCUUAUUCGUAAAGAUUUCUCCAUUUGAGAUCGGGCUUGAAGACAAGAAGGAGGAAGAGAGACUUUUAAAGCAACGAGAGGGUUGCUGAAGGGAAGUCGGGCAUGAUGGUAAGUAGAUAACACAGCCCCCAAGUUAUCCCAAGAGACCAUAGAGCAGAAGCCACCAGCUCCAUCCCAACAGUUCACACAGCUGUGGAACAAGCUGCGAAGUUCUCAAAUGGCUCAGGUUGGGCUCAGAACUAUGUUUCAGAGACAGAGUUGAGGCCACAGUGGGCCUCCGGACUGGCCUUGGCCAGAUCCACAUUUGUGAACAAAUUUCCUUAGCCAUUAUUGGGCAUCAAUUUCUCUCCCAUCUGUUGAGGCGCUCUUAUAUCUAAGGGAACAUCUGCCCCCCUGUGUAUGGCACCAAAUAAGAUAAAACAAAAUAAAAUAAAAUAAAAAAUCAAACAGCAACAAAACACUUCAAGGGGGGCUGAGGACUGCUCUUGAGGGCUGCCCAAGUCACAGGAGCCAACACUUGAUCAGAGACUUGUAUUUGAGCCACCACCGAUUCCUGCUUUCUUAAUUUAGCUCUUAUUUCUUCCCUUUCUUAUUUUGGAGUACCAACUAUCUAUAGUUAAAAAAAAAAGAAAAAUGUCGUGGAAUGGACAGGACACAUGAAGAGAAAAGAAAGCAAGUGCUCUAACUCUCUCGUGUAACUUUGCUGUCUUUUCUCCUUCUGCUCAUAUACAUUUUUACAAAAUGAAAUACAGUUUUUAAAAAUUGGGAACACGGGGUUGGGAACUUAGCUCAGUGGUAGAGUGCUUGCCUAGCAAGUGUGUAAGGCCCUGGGUUCAGUUCUCAGCUCCGGGAAGAGAGAGAGAGAGAGAGAGAGAGAGAGAGAGAGAGAGAGAGAGAGAGAGAGAGAGAGAGAGAGAGAGAGAGAAUAAAAAAUUGGGAACAUGCUCCAUGGACUACUUUGUAACCUCCCUUCUCCCUCAAGGACAGACAUAUCAGGAACAAUUCCUAUACUGGGAAACUCCCAAUUAGGAAGACUUUUUAUGGCCAUGUAUUAAGGCCAUAAUAACACAAUUACCAAACAAUGAAACUCAGUUUGUUUUGACAAACUCACAUUAUUGGACAGUUAGACAGCUUCUAAUUUUUGUUUUGUUUUGUUUUUUGGGACAGGGUUUCUCCGUGUAGUCCUAGCUUUCCUGGAACUUGCUUUGUAGACCAGGCUGGCCUCCAACUCAGAAAUCUUCCUCCCCCUCCCGAGUGCUGAGAUUCAAAGGCAUGCACUGCCACCACCACCUGGUGCUUCUAAAUAUUUUUAAAUAUAUUUAAAACCCUACUCAUAGCAUUUUUUCAGAUAAGUCUUUCUAUGUGUUUGCAUUCUUAGGAUUAAUUGAUGAGGUGGGAAGUCUGCGACCACAACAGCAUAUGUAUUUGAAAGGCUCUGAACACAUAUUGCAAAUUUGCCUUCCAGAAAGGCGAUGCUUGUGAAACAGAGUUUGGGUCUCUGCCUUCCAAUACUCACCAACAGGGCCUGAUGUCAGCAAGUGUGUGCCAUUCACUCUCUACUGUGGUAUUGUGAAUGAGUAAAAAUUCUUAAGAAAGAAAAAGACUUCCCAAAGAAACCAACAACCCCAUGCAAAAAAAGUGAAGGCUGGAAUAGGUCAUUCUAAAUAUUAACAGUACCCUAUAAAAAUAGAGUUUUAAAUGAGAAAGGUUAAAAAUCCAAAGAUGUCCAAAGGACCCUCUUUAGGGUUGAAGCCAGAUGACAAAAGGGAUAAAUUCUACCUGGAAUUGAUUUUUUCAACAUUGAAAAAUGAUGAAGAAAACCAAAUAAAACUCCUAUUUUGAUUCUGCCUUUUCUGUCAAAGAGAAUAACCUUCAGUACAGAAGGAUUAGUGUAAAUGCCAGUGACAGGGACCAGGGCCAGUGGGCUGUACCUGUACUAGAAGAAUUCUGAUCACUUUAGUGAGUUCUUAUAGAACUCUGAGGCCCAGGGAAACAUGCCAGUGGGACCUCAGAGAAUGAAGCAAGAGGAACUGGAGCUGACUUGGUAGUCUAUAAAAUGCUCACCAUACAAGCAUAGGGACCCAAGUUCAACUCCCAGUACUCACUUUACAAAUUCAAAAGUUGGGUACAGUGGCACAUUUGCAAUCCUGACAGCGAGGAGGUGAAGACAGUCAGGUCUGUGGGGCUUUCUGUCCAGCCAGUCUGGCUUACACAAGCAAGCCCCAGACACUGAGAAACCCCACCUUAAAAGGCAAGGUAGAGGACCCCUGAGGAUCAACACCUAAGGUUGUCCUCUGCUUUAUGCAUACACACACAUACACACUACUACACACAUACUCACUCUCACACACAUACUCACUCUCACACAAUCACAGUGUACUCACAAAUACAUUCACUAAUAUUCUCUUGCACACUUAUACACUCACACUCCUCAUAACUCACAUAUGCACUUACACAUACACCCACAUUUUCACAUGCAUGUGCAAUCACAAACAUGCUCACACUCUCUUGUGCACUCGUACAUGCACUCACGUACCCUCACAAUGUACUCUUACUCUCUCAAACAUGCACACAUGCACUCACACUCAUACACUCAUACUCUCUUACACACUCACACAUACACUCAUUCUCUCACAUAGUCACAAAUGCACUCACACAUACACAUAUGCACUCACACAUGCAUUAACACUCUCACACAUGCACACAUUCACUCACUCUUGCACACUCACACGUGCACUCACACACUCACACACCCUCACAAUGAACUCUCACUCUCUCACACACUCACACUUGUACUCAACUCACACACAUGCACUCACACUCAUACACUCAUACUCUCUUACACACUCACACAUGUACUCACACACAUACACUCUCACAUUCAUGCAUUCUCUCAUACAUGCACUCACACUCUUUCACACAUGCACACAUUCACUCACUCUCACACACUCACACAUGCACACAUGCACUCACACUCUCACACACCCUCACAAUGCACUCUCACUCACACACUCACACACACUUUCACACUCACACAUACACUCACACACGCUUACACACUCACACACACUCACACAGGACUAAAGAGGUGGAAAGGCAAUUCUUCUGAUGAACUGCCUUUUUCAGAAAGAAAAGAAAAGUGGGUUCUGAAAUGCAGAUGGCCACAGAAUUCCGAAGAGAAUUUGAGAGUGAACAAAAAGGAUUAUGGGAAAUGACUAUACAAAGGGUGAAGAACCAUAUAAAGGAGGCAUCAGGAACCUCUAACUCAGAAUUGGGAGCUGUCGUUCCCAUCACUGGUCUUUCUCACAUACCCACUCUGCUCCCACUAGGUUGCUAAGAGGGGAACUUAAGGCAUCAUAGAAUCCCCUCCUUAGAGAGUUUCAUAUUUUCUCUAAAAGAUAGGGUUUUCUUUAAAAAACACACAAUUGUAGUAACAUUUUCACACCAUUCAUUGAUUAAUUAAUUAAUUAAUAAAGCAAUAAUAGCAAUGCCUUUACCUCCUCAAUUACCCAAUGUUCAAUUCCCCUGAUCGGCUCACAAAGAAAUUUUGUUUUUUCGCUCUCGUUCUAAGUUGCGCCGUUGACUCUGAACCAAGCACUGCUGGUGUGCAUUGCACUUGGGUUCUUUCGACGCUCCCGAGCAUCCUUUGAUCCACAGACUCUCCUGCUCUCCCUCUUCUCUUUACAAGUUAUAUGGUGAUAAGUUACUACUAAUUAUUAAAAUUAUAAUCUCUCUGUCAUUAUUAUCUUGCAGUGCAGUCCUAGGCCCUUACACCUACUGACCAACUGCUCUACCAGUGAGGUACCUCCUUAGCCCUUAUAAUUAACAAGAAGAAAAUGGUUCACAUGUGCUAUGGACUUUCCCACGGGCCAUCUUACUCUAAUCUUACGUAUUUUCUGUAGCAUGGUAGCAGCUGACCCCAGAGGCUUGGUCACCUACACGUCAAUGUUGAGUAUAGCUUUGCUUCGUCAAUGUUGAGUAUAACUUUGCUUUGUUUUGUUUUAGAGACAGGAUCUCACUGUGGAUUCUUGGAUUUCCUGGAACUCACUUUGUAGACCGGGUUGACUUUGAACUCAUAGAGAUCUGCUUCCCAAGUGCUGGGAUUAGAGGGCGAGUGGAUUUAGAGAGCGGCCAAGUGCCACAGACAUAAUGUAACUGGACUUCAACAGAGCGCUCGUCCAGGCCUCUCACGAUAUCACAGCGGACAACAUGGAGAAAUGUGGACUAAACGAUAGUACCAUUAGAUGAAUUAACAACAUUUGGCACUCCCCAAGACCACAUGUGGCUGGAGCAGAAUUACAAACAGCAGGGAGUGAGUUACAGGUAGUGCUGGGAUCUCAGGUAAGGGUCUAAUUGUCCAAUCCCUAUCCCCACCCUCUCUUUUUGAGGAACCUCUAUAUCUUGACAGUCUCUUGCAAGCAGGUCACACACAGCUCCUCUGCUCAAGAAAACCUCUACACCUGUCCAUAACUGCUGGCCUCUGCAACAAACAUUUGUGGUCCCCAGAUCCCUUUUCAUCCUUGAGGCCCCCAAAGAACCCUUGAUUAUAAGUUUAUCUUUUGAUACUUUCUAUAUUAAAAAUAAAAACUAAGGGAAAAAAAAGUUUGCAAUAUUCACCUAGCACUUUAUUUAAAAAUAAUGAUAAAACCCACUGAGUGUUAACACAAUUAACACAUUUAGAUAAAAUAAUAUUUUUAAAUGUAUUAAAGUAAUGGCAUUGUUUUGCAUUUUCCAAUAUUUUCUUAGUAUUUGGUCUAGUAAGGAGACUGUUGUCAAGUAAAUUUUAGAAAAUUCCACUCUGUAUUCAAAAGAGAGGCAGUGAGGUAAAGAUGAAUAAUUAUUUUUAUAAUUAUGAAAAUAGUUACAGCUUCGUUGAUGCCUUCCCCCCACCCAGUACUAGCGACUUCCAGAGGUCUUCAUAGCCUCUGUUAAGACAAAGUACUCUGGGCCAGGUAAAGUAGUGCAUGCCUUUAACCCCAGCAUUUGGGAGACAGAGGUGGGUGGAUCUCUGAGAGUUCAUGGCCAGCCUGGUCUACAGAGUGAGUUCUAGGACACCACAGCAGCCAGGGAUCUGUAGAGAAAUUAUCUCCUCUACCUCCCCGUCAAAAAAGAACCAGUGCUCUAAACAAAUGCUGUGCAAAAUUCAAGGAUUGGGGGGAAUUUGUAUUUCAACAAGGAUUAAAUCUCCCUCAGGAGCCUUGGUCUCUCAAGGAGCUGUUCAGAAAUGGGGUAGGUCCUUUAUUUGACUUCUGCUCCUGAGUUGGUCUGCUCACAGCUAGGCUUGCCCUCUGGCUUCCUCCAGAAGCUGCUGGGAGUCUACAGCCACAGGCUGAAUCUGUGAGGCACAGAAAAGGGGAAAGCAAAGAGACCCAGGCCAACUAUGCAGCCUAAAAGAGGCUUGAUCUCUGACCCUCCUAACCCUUCCCAGUGUUUGGAUUGCAGGUGUCCCGCACCGCACCCGGUUUUCUAUGAUACCAGAAAUCUAACCCAGGGCUUUAGUGUGUUCUGGGCAAGCAUGCGUCCAACCAGGCUAUAUCUCCAUUCCCUUUCUUCCUUUCAUUUAUUCGUAUUUGUCAUGGUAGUCCUAGGGGUUACUAAGCACACUUUCUGUCAUUGAGUGAUACCACCAUUCUAGUUCCUUUUCCUUACCAAAAUGUGUCUCUUUUGUUUAGUAGACAGAGAAGAGCCCAAGGAAUAAUUAACCAAGAACUUGAGAUUACCAAACUCUCAUUGCCCCUACUUUCAGCAAUUAGAUGUAGUUCUUCAUCAUAUUAUAAAAUAUACUGAGACUCUGGUAUGCUUGUUUAUUUUAAUUAAAUCAUUGAAAAUCAGAAAUGAUAUCAUAUCUAGACUUUCCUAGCAAUGUAGAGACUUCCCAGAACUUGUAGCUGCAUAUUUUUGUGUAAUUGCAUUGUGCUAAUCAACUAAAAUGGCCCAGUAGAAAUGUUAAUAAGUAAACAUAGUCAUAAUUAUAAUCCUAGACAUAGCCCAUUGCCAAGGACCUCAAGAAGUCAUUGAAUCCAUCCCCCUGCCUCCAAGCCUGAUUGCUCCUCCAGUCAAGUCUUGAUAAAUGUAAAGUCACAAACGUUCUAUAAUGGGUCUCUUUACAUUUUUGCUUAAUAUGUUUUAGCACAAAAAAUAGCAAAUAAUAGCAAAGCUAAUUACAGAACAGUAAAGACAACUGAGAGGAAAAUGUUUGCAAGAAGAUGUAACUUAUCAAAUAAUUAUUUUUUCUGAAUAUAAAGUACAGCAUACAUUUUAGUUAAACACACACAUACAUACAUCUACUAAAUUUAUAUGGACUGGAUAUGAUUCUAGAUCCUGAUGGUUGAGUUACAGAAUUUUAUUUACUUUCUUUUUGGUGUGUGUGUGGGAGGGGGAGAUAGGAUCUUGCUAGGCACGCUGACUAGUUUUAUGUCAACUUGACACAACUUAGAGUCAUCUCAAAGGAGGGAAUCUCAAUGAAGAAAACAUCUCUGUAAGAUCAAGCUGUAAGGCAUUUUCUGAAUUAGGGAUUCAUGGGAGAUGCUCCAGUCCAUUGAGGGUGGUGCUAUCCUUGGGCAGAUGGUCUUGGAUUCUACAAUAAAGUAGGCUGGGCAAGCCAUGGGGAGCAAGCCAGUAGGCAACCUCUUUCAUCCAAGUUCCUGCUCUGACUCCCUUCAGUGAUGAACAGUGCCGGGGAAGUGUAAGCCAAGUUAACCCCUUCCUCCACAUCUUCCUUUCUGUCAUGGUGUUUCAUCACAGCGAUAAUACCCUACGAUAAUACCCUAUGUAGGACACUAUGUAACCCAGGCCAGCCUAGAUUCACUACGUAGUCCAGGCUAGUCUUCAAUCCACAGUUCUGCUGCACUACGCCCCACAGCGCUGAUUACAAGCAUGGAUCACCACGCCCAACUAAGGGUUUUACUCUAGUUCUACUGAAAGCAAAAUAUGCUUAAUGUGUGUUUUUAAAGUUUUGGAAUUUCAAAGGCAUGCAUACUGUGACAUCUAUACCUACAGGAGAAUGUUAGGAAUGAUCCAAUUUGUGCCAGAUUUAAGAAUCCUUUUUAUUACCUUAAAAAUGAGGAAUUUACAAGAGAAAGUCAAAAGACAGCAUGUUGUGUAAUAGCCUUUUGCUUGGGCUCUGUGCCCCCCAAAACUACUAAGACAGUCUUCUGAGGGACUAUGGUUGUGAGUCACUGAAACACUUAGCCAGAAUGCUUGUAGCUUUGGGGUGGGAGCCUAUCAGAGAGGUACCAUUCUGCAGGUGAGAGGGCAUGUGGAGAUGCAGAGUGUACUUCCUUUCUCCUAGUGCCAUUCUCUGGGCCAGAGCAGGACUUCCAGGCCUUGAUUGUGUCCAGUGAGCAAGCAUUUGCAGGUCCAGUCAGGCUGGCUUUAAGGCCAGUUGAAUAAAUUCAUCACCGAAAUGUCCCAUUUGAAAAAAUCUCCAGAAAGACCAUGCCUCCACGCACGCGCGCACACACACACACACACACACACACACACACACACACACACACACACACAUCACUCCCCGAAGAGAUCGUCCUAUGCUGAGGACUUCUGUUCCGAGGGAAAUUCCCUUGAGCUUGAGUCUAGAGAAGAGCGUGUAAGCUGGUGGUGCCUUGCUGAAACGGAGCCCAAAAAUCUCUUAUCAAGUGGAUUCCAGAUUGGACACCGAGAGUAUGGCAGAUGGAGUCUGGGGACAGAGUAAGGAUGUGGAUCCAAAAACGCAAUCAUGAAAAGGUCAAUAAAGUGAGGCUGGGGAGAUGGUUCAGUGGACAAACGACAAACUGUUUGCUACACCAGCAUGAGGUCCUGAAGUUUGGAUCCCUAGCACCACAUAAAAAGGUUGGACAUUGCCCAAGUUAGGAUUUCUAUGGCUAUGACGAAACACCAUGACCAAAGAGCAAGCUGGGCAGGAAAGGGUUAAUUCAGCUCACACUUCCACAGCACUGAAGGAAGUCAGGACAGGAGCUCAAGCAGGGCAGGCACCUCGAGUCAGGAGCUGGCACAGCAGUCAUGGAGCGUCUCUGCAAGGCACGAGGUGCUGCUCACUGGCUUGUUUACCAUGGCUCGCUCAGUCGUUCUUAUAAUACCCAAGCCGACCACCAGCCUAGGUCUGGUACCACCCAAAAAAGACUGUGCCUUCCCCAUCCAUAACUAAGAAAAUGCCUUACAGCCUCAUCUUACAGAGUCAUUUUCUCUAUUGAGGUUCUCUCCUUUCAGAUAACUCUAGUUUGUGUCUUGUUGACAUAAGACUAGCCAGAAUGGUGGUGCCUGUGUCUACAGCCUUAGCACUAGGGGAGUGGGACAGAUAGGUUGAUGCUGAAGGCUUGCUGGCCAGCUAAUCCAGAUUAAAUAGUGAACUCUAAGUUCAGUGAAAGACCUCGUCACAAAAAUUAAGUGAAGACUGAAACAUGAGCAAUACUGUCCUCUGGUCUGGGCAGGUACAGGCACGCACACACACACACAUGCACACACACACACAUGCACACACACACACGCACACACACACACACGCACACACACGCACACACACAUAGAAACUUAACUUUUGCAAACGGUCUUGUUAAAAGGAUGAAAUAAGCAAAGGGUGAACAGAGAGGAAAGCCUUGCAAACAGUAUACCUGGCCCACAUCCUGGAUCUGCAAUAGAUAGAGAACCCUCAAAACCCAAUGUGAAAACAAAAGCCAAUUAGUAAGUGGGAAAGGACAUUUCAUUAGAGAGGAGACACAGCAGGCACACAAGUACAUUAACAAGUGUUCGACAUCGUUAGCCAUUAGAGAAACUAAUUAAAAAUAGAAGAUAUCACUGUACACCUAUUAAACGACUAAAAUUUUUUGGUUAUGCAUGUCGUGUGCGUGUGUGUGCAUGGAUGCUCACAUGCAUUUGAGCACAUCUGUGUGUGCAAGUGCAUACAAACAUAUGUGCAAGUAUGUGAAGGCCAGAGGUUGACAAAAGGUGUCUUCCUUGAUCAAGCUCUUGGGAAUUGAAACAAGCUCUCCUGCUGAACCAGGAACUGAUUGAUCUACGUAGUCUAGUCAGCAGUUCACCCUGGGAUCCACUAUGGUCACUGACUAGACACUAGAAUUAUAAGAAGUCUGGCAUGCGUGCCCCCUCGGCAUUUUCAUGCGGACUAGGGGGUCUAAACUCAGUUACUGCACAACAGACACCUUUGUCCAUGAAGCCACCUCCCAGGCCUCUAAAAUAUUUUGAAAUGUAAUAACACUAAAUUCUUUGAAAGACCCAAAGAAAAUAGAUCUCCUUGGGAAUAUAACAUUACAUUCUCUGGAAAGAUUUGGUCAUUGCUUAUAAAACUUAAACAUAUUCUUUUUUUCUUUCUUCUUUUUUUCGGAGCUGGGGACCGAACCCGGGCCUUGCGCUUGCUAGGCAAGCGCUCUACCACUGAGCUAAAUCCCCAACCCCUCUUAAACAUAUUCUUACCACAUGACCUGACAGCUGUCCUCUUGACCCACAGAAGACAUAUAAACCCGAACUCACCAAGAUUUUACUUGUGGUAGCCCAAACCUGAAGACAACCCUCGUGUGUUUGACAUGUGACUGGGUAAAAGAAUCGUCUGUCCGCACCUUAGACUACUGUAGAAAUGAAGGAGAGUAAAGCAUGGUGCAUAGGACAGCCAUUCUGACAUAAUAAACACCCACAAUCCUACUUCUUACACCUACUUACCGUCACGAAACUACUGAGACAGGGGCCAGGUUAAUGGGCCCCAAAGGGCAGCCAUGGGACAAACAUGAAGAGGCUCACAGGCUGUCCUGUGGGGAAGGAAAGGUGAACUAGGUUGAUAGUUACAAGAAUCUGUGGAGAGGUUAAAAUUUCAUAGAAUGAAAACAGUAAAAGAGUGGAUGGGUGGACUGGGAAGAGCGGCAGUCAGUUAAGAGUGCUCGCUGAGCCAUCAUCAGGAUGGUGGUUUAGAGCUCAGCACCCAUUGGGCAAACAGCCACCUACAGAUGUCUGCAGCCUCAACUCCAGGGGAUCCAACAACUCCCUUCUGGCAUCUGUAAAACCAAACCCAUGUGUGCGAAUAUAUCCAUGUAGGCACACAUAAAAAUACAUACAUACAUACAUACAUACAUACAUACAUACAUACAUACAUACGGAAACACAUACGAAGAAGUAUCCGUAAAGUUGUGGGAGCUGGGUGAAGUCUUGUGGUCCGUUUCCAUUUUUGCACCAAUGUUUAUUUCCUGGUUUCCCGCUGUACUACAGUUCACAAGACGCCCUCGCUGGAGGAAGUUGAGGGAAGGCCAUAUUGGACUUUAGGUAUUAUAUUUUUAACCUCAGAUGUAUAAUUCUUUCAAAGUGAAAGUUAAGAAGAGGGGGGUUGAUAUCUGGUUCAAUGAGAAAAGUGCUUCCCUUGCAAAAUGGAGGCAGGUGUGGGGCCACAACCACUAAUCCAGCCCUGAGGAGGUGGAGACAGCGGGAUCUGUGGGGCUGUCUGCCACUUGGUCUCUCCUAGUUAGUGAGCUGAAGGUUCCCAGAAAACUUGCCUCAAAAGUAAGGCAGACAUCAACUGGGGAGGCACCUGCUAGCAAACUAUGGCCUCUAAACACACACACACACACACACACACACACACACACACACGCACGAGCACAUGUAUAACACAUACAGAAGAGAAAAAAAAAGUUAAAGGGACAGACCCCAAAGACGAACUCUCACACUGUGGCUCCCCCUCCCUCCUCCCCCUCUGUCUCCUAUUCUUCCUCCUCUUCUUGCUUUCAUCCUCCUUUUUCAGAUAUUAGAGAUUGAACCCAGCAUCCCGUGUGAGCUAAGCAAGUGUUCUCCCUCUGAGCCUCUUUCUUCAUUUAAAUAUCUACUUAAAUGAAGAUAUACGUCUCCAUAUAUGUACACACAUCCACACACAUCUACAUCUACAUCUAUAUCCAUAUCUAUACCUAAUCUAUAUUUAUGUCAUCUACAUAUCUAUAUCAUCUCUAUCUGGAUCAUCUCUAUCUCUAUCUGUAUGAAAGCUAUGGUGCACUGAGACUCCCGCUGCCUCUUUCCGGGGCUUCAGACUGUUCACAAUUCUGAGUUUUCUCCUGAGCACCUGGCAGAUGGUGUCCUCUGACCCUUGAGAAGUUAGGACCAUAAUAUUGGCUGGCUAUGGCCAAAGAAAUGUGAACAGAUAUGACAUUAAUCACGUCUAUAAGAAAGUUUGAAGCCAGAGUUUGAUUCUGAGUGCUUUGAGCAACACAGGCUAUGACAAACAGUAUCGAGGUGAGGUGCAAGUAGAGAAUAAACUGUCGUUCUGUCACUCUGGAGAUCUGGGAGCUCUCCUGGCAGAUCCAGUCCAUGUGAGCUGAAAAUAAAGACAAGGUGAUCUGACCUUUUGAAAGUCAAUUUGGCAAGGGCCGGUUCUUUCCUUUGAUAUAGGAAUUCAACUUGUUGAAGUAGUUAUCCCUGUUAACUCAGGAAGCACCAUCCAAAACGUCAAUCACCAAGAUGCUGAACAAGUAAUGUUAGCAUAAGGGGGUCCACCAAGUGAGAACAAUGACACGGCUUGGAAAUGGCCUGGCGUAGAUGUUCACAGAAAAGCGAGCCUACAAAGUGAUUCUGGGCAGCAUUCAGUGCCAUCAGCCGUUACACUGGAAAAUGCUUAUGUUUUGAUGUUAAGUCAAAAAUAAAUCACUUGUGUGUGUAGAGGAAGCAUCUAAGCUUAUGUAGAAAACACUGUGUGCACAGCAGUCACACCCCCAAAGAAACGAAACAAACACGAGACUGGAAACAAUGAUUGCAGUGCAUGUAACCCCGAGAAUUUAAUGUUCCAGAUAUAUAAAGAGUUCCUACACCCCAAAUAAAUGCGGGCAAAGAUGUCGAGAAAAGAGAACUCCCACAGCAAAGUGAGCAACUACAAUCAUGACAAGAAAAAUGUAUGCAAGUUCCUCAGGAUUCUAGGAACAGAAUAGCCACGUGAUCCCAGGGCCUACCACUAGCAUUAUAGUAAAGUGACCGGAAGUCGGUAUGCACAAGAGACGUGUGCACUGCAGGGUUGACUGCAGAACUAGCUGCAACUGUCAAGGUAUAUACUUCAGCCCUCUGGGUGGAUACAGGGCUACGGUUUGAUGGGAACAUCUUCUAAUGCUCUAUAGCACAGCAGAAAGUUAUGGUUGGCAGUAAUUAACUGAAUAGUGUGAAGUACCUGGAAGGAAAGGUCUUCGAUGGUUGUAACACAAAGAAAUUCUUUGUCUGAGACGGCGUGAUGUCUGAGGUACCCUGAUUUGCGAUGCAUACAUGAAUCCUUAUGUCAUAUAAAUAUGUAAAAAUUGUUACGUGUGAGCAAAACAAAAAUAUUUUAACGGACAAAAGCUAUAAGUAGUGAAUUGCAGAAAAUUGAAACCAUAAAUGAGCUGUGAAGUUGGCGCAGUAAUGGUUGAUGGUUAUUCCAGUGCUCGGGAGGCUGAAGCAGGAGGAUCUCAGAGAUUUAGUUCUAAGGCUGCCUGAACUACACAGCAAGAUCUUGCCUCAAAAUAAAAACAAAACAAACAAACAAAAAUCACAAGAUGGAGGUGACUUUGAAGAUGCCACACCUGAUGAUAGCAAUAUUCCUCCCUGAGAAGUGGAAGCGUAGAAAGCCAUGUGCUCAUGAUAUAACUGCAGCUUCUGAAGGCAGAGACGGGCAAUCAAUCCCCAGAGCAAGAUGGCUAAGGAAAGUCACCACUGUUGUAGGUCUGAAUCCAACUGAGAAGCCCCCGUAUCUGUGACUGAGGGAGAAGAGCAACGAAUGACAGUUCCUGACACCAAUCUUUGCCCUUCAUAUAUACAUACAGCCAUGCGUGUUCACCCAUGCGCACGCACACACACCACACACACACACACACACACACACACACACACAAACACACACAUGUGAUAAUGGAAAAAUUGUAGGCAUAGUGGUUUUGUGCACUGUAUAAAGUUUAUCCUUGUAUUAGUCAAAUGCUGAUUUCUCUGCCCUCGUAUCUUGUUUCAAUCCGGACACAGCAUUGUAUGUAAGGUUUAGGUCAAAAAUCUCCUGUCUAGGGGCCCCAAGGAAGGAGUUAGAGAAAGGACUGAAGGAGCUGAAGGAGUUUGCAACUCCAUAGGAAGAACAACAGUAUCAAACAACCAGACCCCCAGAGCUCCCAGGGAAUAAACCACCAUCCCAAGAGAACCAGGGAUGGACCUAUGGCUCCAUCCACAUAUGUAGCAGAGGAUGACCUUGUUGGCCAUCAAUGGGAGGAGAGGCCCUUGGUCCUGUCAAGGCUCGAUGACCUAGUG